rnacentral:lncRNA from 1 species
UCAUGCCCUGCAUGAAUCCCGGAUGUGAGUCCGCCAGUGACGGCGGUUCACGCCUGCGCAGAAGGGGCGCUUGGCUCGUCAGAAUGACGCAGGCCGGCAUUGACCAAUAGAAAUGGGCCACGUCACCCGAGAGGCUAUAAAAGGCAGGCUCGCAUCCGGCUCGGGGUCUUUCCGCCAUUUUGAAGAAUGUAGAAGAAACUCCAAUAAAGCGUGCAUCAGAAGAAUCCUGAGUGUUGCGUGUUCCUUGCUGGCGAGGUGCGCGUGACAAGUGGUGCCGAAACCCGGGAAGCGACGACCAUUAACCGGCAUCAGCGGAGACCCCUGACUUCAGGAGGAUUCAGAACUGAGCAGCAGGAGGGGAGGAUCCACCAACUUUCCGAGAGCUUCAGUAGCAGUGCAGUUAUGCACAGCACUCAACAUGCUUCCCUUGGGAAAUGCAGCGGGGGAAGGGCCACGCCUACAAGCAGAGGAUGUGAACAGGAGUGAAGAGAAGACUGCAAAUGCAGGGGUAAGACAUGAGUGCAGACUUGAGCCCCUGAAAAGGAGAAAGGACAGCAUGAACAGAAGAAUGGUCAGGGAAGCUGUUGGCUUCGACAAUGCCACAUGCAAGAUCAGAGUGGCCCAGAUAUCACAGAGCUGUUGGCAGAGCAGCAGGCUUCUCCAGCUAAUUCCAAAGUUCCCUCUUGGGUAUGGGUCUGGAAGAAGGAAAGAGAGAGAAGAA